UCUCCGUUGGUGAACCAGCGGAGGGAUCAUUACCGAGUUUACAACUCCCAAACCCAAUGUGAACGUUACCAAACUGUUGCCUCGGCGGGAUCUCUGCCCCGGGUGCGUCGCAGCCCCGGACCAAGGCGCCCGCCGGAGGACCAACCAAAACUCUUUUUGUAUACCCCCUCGCGGGUUUUUUUAUAAUCUGAGCCUUCUCGGCGCCUCUCGUAGGCGUUUCGAAAAUGAAUCAAAACUUUCAACAACGGAUCUCUUGGUUCUGGCAUCGAUGAAGAACGCAGCGAAAUGCGAUAAGUAAUGUGAAUUGCAGAAUUCAGUGAAUCAUCGAAUCUUUGAACGCACAUUGCGCCCGCCAGUAUUCUGGCGGGCAUGCCUGUCCGAGCGUCAUUUCAACCCUCGAACCCCUCCGGGGGGUCGGCGUUGGGGAUCGGCCCUGCCUCUUGGCGGUGGCCGUCUCCGAAAUACAGUGGCGGUCUCGCCGCAGCCUCUCCUGCGCAGUAGUUUGCACACUCGCAUCGGGAGCGCGGCGCGUCCCCAGCCGUUAAACACCCAACUUCUGAAAUGUUGACCUCGGAUCAGGUAGAAUACCCGCUUGAACCUAA
rnacentral:rRNA from 1 species